AGGUUCCUCAAGAAACUGGAAGUCAAGCUACCAUGUGAUCCAGUAAUCUCACUGCUGGAUAUAUACCCAAAAGAAAGGAAAUCAGUAUUUCAAAGAGAUAUCUGCACUACCACGUUUGUUGCACAAUAGUCAAAAUUUGGGAGCAACCUAAGUGUCCACUAACAAAUGAAUGCAUAAAGAAAAUGCCAUACUUAUAUACAAUAGAGUACUCUUCAACCAUAAAAUAGAAUGAAAUCCUCUUAUUUGCAACAACAUGGAUAGAACUGGAGGACAGUUUGCUUAGUGAAUUAAAUCAGGCACAGAAAGACAAACAUCGCAUGUUCUCAUUUAUGUGUUGAUUUAAUAUUCAAAACAAUUGAACUUAUGGAGCUAGAGAGUAGAAGCAUGGUUACCAGAGGCUGGAAUGGUUAGAGAAUGAAUAAGACCUAGUAUUUGAUAACACAACAGAGUGAUUAUACUCAAUUUAGUUGUACAUUUUAAAGUAACUAGAAGAGUAUCAUUGGAUUGUUUGUAACACAAAGGAUAAAUGCUUGAGGGGAUGGAUACCCCAUUUUACAUGAUGUGAUUAUUACACAUUGUAUACCUAUAUCAAAACAUCUCAUAUACCCCAUAAAUAUAUGUAUACUUAUUGUGUACCCACAGAAAUCAAAAUUAAAAAUUUAAAAAACAAAACAAAAAAAGAUGGAAAGUGAAAUGAAACCUGUCUUCUUAGAAUACUUUGUUUUUUAUUUGUGAAAUUUAAUAAGUAAUCUGAUACUUAAGAAAGUGUUGAACUCUAAGAAGUAUCAGAUUCUAGAAAAAUUAAGAACUUACUCUGUAAGCUUUUCUUCAUUUUCUACCUCAGAAAUAUAGCAUAUUAAUACAUUUCUUUACUGACUUUUAACAGCACACAAUUCCAGUCCUGCCUUUAAGUAAAUAUUUGCUAUUCAAAAAGGCCUGAGAUAGCACCACUCUUUCAAAAGACUGCAUGUUAUUUUUCCUUUUCCUUUAAAGGAAAGUGGCUGCAUGGAAGAGGUACAUUAGUUCUGAAUGAGGCAGGAGCAAGAGUGAGAUUCUUUUACUAAAUCAACAGUCACUUACUUCAUGGAAGCUCUGUUUUUUUAGGGCUAAAGGAAUGUCCUUAUGUGUACAGUGAAGAAG